rnacentral:rRNA from 1 species
UACGGAGGGGGCAAGCGUUGUUCGGAAUUACUGGGCGUAAAGGGCUCGUAGGCGGCCAACUAAGUCAUACGUGAAAUCCCUCGGCUUAACCGGGGAACUGCGUCUGAUACUGGAUGGCUUGAGUUCGGGAGAGGGAGGCGGAAUUCCAGGUGUAGCGGUGAAAUGCGUAGAUAUCUGGAGGAACACCGGUGGCGAAGGCGGCAUCCUGGACCGAUACUGACGCUGAGGAGCGAAAGCCAGGGGAGCAAACGGG